rnacentral:lncRNA from 1 species
AUGCAAGGCCAUGUGUCACAAAGUGACAGACAGGGCUCCUGUUUCCAUCAGAGCCUGCUUGCCCUGCCAUUUCCUCAGGACCCGGUAAUAUCGCCCAACACUUUACACAAGGAGCUUGGUACCCGGAACUUCACCUGGUUAAGUACGGCAGCUGGGAUCGUGGCUUUAAAAUCUCUCUGGUGGUCAGGAACUAUGGCAGAUACAGAGAAGAAAAGGAGAGGUGCCCUGAGCAUCCUGCCCACCCGUGGUCAAGAAAUAAGAGCGAUGCCCAUGCGAACCCAGCCUUGUGGUGGACAAGCAAAUGGUGUCACCAGGGGGCUCGUGGCAGGUGGCCCUGCACAUGCCUGACAGAGUCCUGCACGCUCCUCGGUGGGUAUCCAGGAGUCAAGGCUCAAGCUUGCUUCUAGAGCAUUCCUCUCUCGGUGCAAGAACAAAAGAGAUGCACGCCUUCAUUAGUUAGACUUCUGCGGAGUUCUAAAUCAAACCACAGCAUUCAAAUUUUAAAAGUUUGAUCAUCUGAGAAAUAAGGAUAUUAAAUAUGAUUAAAUAUGAUUGCAGUUGAGGGUGCAGGCUGCUCUUCCAUUACUUGCUUUGAUUAAAAAAAAAAAAAGCUAUCUGAGCUUCGAGGGUGAAAAGUUAAAUGCAGCAAGGAAGAAAAUAAAAGCCAGUGAGUCUGUAGCUGGUCUUACUUU